rnacentral:lncRNA from 1 species
UGCUUUGUGGAGUCGCGUAAUGAGAAUUGGCUUGCUAGGUAAGAGUAAAUUAGGAUUUGUCGACGGUAGGUUUCCUAAGUCUAAGUUUGAGCUUGAACUCCAUGAUCUGUGGGAGAAAGUGAAUGCUAUUGUUUUGUCAUGGAUAAUGAAUGCUAUGAGGCCAGGUUUGCUAAGUAGUGUCCUAUAUGCAUCUAGUGCUCAUAAAGUUUGGGAAGACUUAAAAGAGAGAUUUAAUAAAGUAAAUGGUUCCAGAAUUAUGUACCCAUAUAGGGAGGUUCACACUUUGACUCAAGGAGUUAUGAUUCUGACUAUUUCUCUAAACUAAGAGAGCUUUGGGAUGAGUUUGAUGCUCUUAUGCCGUGUCCUGGCUGUCCCUGUCCUGAGUCAAAGAAGUAUGCUCAACACUUUGAAUAUCAAAGGCUCUUUCAAUUUCUUGCUGGCUUAAAUGAGUCCUACUGUCAGUCAAGGAGUCAAAUCAUGAUGAUGUCUCCUUUGCCUAGUAUAAAUAAGGCCUAUUCUAUGUUAGUUGAUCAGGAAAGCAAAAGAAACCUUGCAAAUAUGACACAAGUGUAUAGCAGCAAGAACACAAAUAAUACUAAAAACUACAACUAAAGAGGAGGCAAGUUCAAUGUGAAUAUUGCUACUACAAGGUACAUACAAGGAAAAAUGCUAUAAGCUAGUUGGAUAUCCUCCGGAUUUCAAAUCCAAAAAGAAGGGAAUCAAUACUUGACAGUAUGCAAAUCAAGUGUAUGGUGCAGAGGUGAACUAUAUAGAUAGAUAUAUUAUGGGCAAGAAUGUAGCUUCUAGUGUGACUCAACAAGGCAGAGGAGGAAGUCGCUCUAAUUCAGGUGUUCCACAACCAGCAAAUCAACCUACUUUCUUCUAGCAAAUGCCACGUCCUACUCCUGUCUUUACUCCUGAACAAUAUCAGCAGAUUCUUCAUCUGUUGCCAAAAGGAAGCUCACGAGGAUCAGUCUCAUCAAGCAAAUCUGCUGCUGCAGGUAUUUUGAGCAAAGUGAAUGCUUUUAUGUCUCAUUAUGUUAAUGACAAGUGGAUUGUUGAUACCGGGGCAUCAAAUCACAUGACUUCAAGCCUAGACAUGUUGCACACUCAUAUGGCACUUCCAAACACAGAAGAAAAAAAAGUACACUUACCUACUAGAAGUGUUGUAUCAGUAUCACACACAGAAAAUACUUCUGUAUUAAGUAAUCAGGAAAUCUCUAAUGUUCUCUACAUUCCUGACUUUAAGUUCAACCCACUCACAGUUUCAAAACUCACUAUGGAACUAAAAUGUAUGGUUGGUUUCUUCCCUGACUUCUAUAUUUUUCAGGACCUCUUCAGUGGUCAGGUGAAGGGGAUUGGUAGGAGCAUAGAUUGUACGUACUGUGUGGGAGUACGUACAAUCUAUAUCAGCCUCAUCUUAGGUAACGAAUAAGUGCGUUAACAUAACAAAUGAUGUUUCUACUUCUACUUCUUCUGCUUCCAAUAGUUCUUCCAGGUUUAGUGUGUCUGUUUCUAGCAUUUGCAUUUUAUGACAUAAGAGAUUAGGACAUGCUCCCACAGACAUAAUAAAGAAGAUAGAGGCAUUGAGUAAGCCGACAACAGGUAACUCUAAUCAGCCCUGUACUGUAUGUCCUGUUGCUAAACAAACCAAAAUGCCCUUUUAGCUGAGUAAUACUGCAACAAAGACUAUUUUUGAACUAGUUCAUUGUGGUAUUUGGGGACCAUAUAGAGUACCUACUGCCAUACCUCCUUUUCCCCGAGGGAUAGAGAAUUUUUUCAAUUAAAGUGACAUUAAUAUAAAUGGGAUAGGGAUAGGGAGUUUUUUCAAUUAAAGUGACAUUAAUCAAAAUGGGAUUAUUUAUUUAAUCAGAGUCGCCACUUGGAAUAAUUUAUGGUGUCCCAAGUCACUGAUUUAUUUUAAAUCCCAAAUCGAGGAAAAUUGACUAUAUUUUUGGUCCGCGAGACAGACGUCCAAAUCCCAAACCAAUUAAUCACGAAAUGCAGAAAAAGGUUUAAUUGACAAAUUUAUUAUGGCAAAAGGAAACAAAAUAGAAUAAAGUUUGGAGAUAUAGAGAUAACACCAAGACAGCAAACCAAACGUAAACCUUUGGCCCGUCAACAUUGAAAGCAUUUUAAUUAGAGUCUUCAUUCAUGAUUAGCAAAUUAAUGAAACUAAAAUAUCUAAAUUAACAUGUCCAACAUAGUUUCCUUCGUCUCACAUUAACACAAUUAAACAGGUAACUCAAUGAAACACCGUUAAGGCUAGUCGAAGUAUGAAAUUUAUUUAAAAGUAGAAGAGAAUGGACCUUUAUAAUUGCUUGACUGUUUCCUUCAAAAUUCGAACAAGAAUGAAUCUCUGACCAGAGCCGGAACCGCUAAACGGAGAUCUCACCGGCUAGAUCGAACUGCGACCUUGAACCCGACCAAAGCUAUGGAUGGAGACGUUGGACUGAGAAGUAUCAGCUACAACAAAUGGGUCUCGGGUUAGUGUUCCAAUGAAUUUUGGGGCUGUGUGGGUUAGAGAAAUAUACUUAGGGUGUAUUUUACUUUUUGGAAGUUAGGGACGACAAAGAGCUUUUCUUUUCAGGUAUGAUCAGUGUCAAAUCUUCUUUUAUUUGACAAUAAACAAGAGGGUUUAAUUUCAGUGGUUCAAAUCUGGAUCAUCGCGCUGAAAUGGACAACAAUUACCAUCCUUCUUGUUGUUGCUACUGUUCUUCUAUGGAUAGGCUUAAUCCUCCAAGAUGAUUUCCGAUAAUGGGUGGGCGACUGCUUCUCUUUUUAUGUAUUAGGAGAUUAAAAUGUUGGGGGGAUUGGGCUUUUUUUAUUGGUUUUGGAUUCUUGAGGAAGAAGGAGAUGAGCAGCGGCUAUUUUUGCCUAAGCUCUCUCUUUACUGUCAUUUUUUAUGCAGGUUGCGGCUGAAGAGAUGGAGAGGGUGGGGAACGGCUGACCUCUCUUGUUUUAGAGAAUGAGAGCUUUUAAAAGAGUUCUCCAAAAUAUGGUUUUGGGAAGGAAGAAAUUU